rnacentral:rRNA from 1 species
CUAUCAGGUAGUAGUGGGUCUAAUGUACCUACUAGCCUACGACGGGUACGGGUUGUGAGAGCAAGAGCCCGGAGAUGGAUUCUGAGACACGAAUCCAGGCCCUACGGGGUGCAGCAGGCGCGAAAACUUUACAAUGCCGGCAACGGCGAUAAGGGAACCUCGAGUGCCAGGUUACAAAUCUGGCUGUCGUGAUGCCUAAAAAGCAUUGCAUAGCAAGGGCCGGGCAGGACCGGUGCCAGCCGCCGCGGUAACACCGGCGGCUCGAGUGGUAACCGUUAUUAUUGGGUCUAAAGGGUCUGUAGCCGGCCGGAUAAGUCUCUUGGGAAAUCCAGCAGCUCAACUGUUGGGCUUCCAGGAGAUACUGUCUGGCUCGAGGCCGGGAGAGGUGAGAGGUACUUCAGGGGUAGGGGUGAAAUCUUGUAAUCCUUGAAGGACCACCAGUGGCGAAGGCGUCUCACCAGAACGGACCUGACGGCAAGGGACGAAAGCUAGGGGCACGAACCGGAUUAGAUACCCGGGUAGUCCUAGCCGUAAACGAUACUCGCUAGGUGUCGGCCACGGUGCGACCGUGGUCGGUGCCGUAGGGAAGCCGUGAAGCGAGCCACCUGGGAAGUACGGCCGCAAGGCUGAAACUUAAAGGAGUUGGCGGGGGAGCACUACAACGGGUGGAGCCUGCGGUUUAAUUGGAUUCAACGCCGGAAAUCUUACCGGGACCGACAGCAAUAUGAAGGCCAGGCUGAAGACUUUGCCGGAUUAGCUGAGAGGUGUUGCAUGGCCGUCGUCAGUUCGUACUGUGAAGCAUCCUGUUAAGUCAGGCAACGAGCGAGACCCACGCCCACAGUUGCCAGCGUACUCUCCGGAGUGACGGGUACACUGUGGGGACCGCCGCUGCUAAAGCGGAGGAAGGAAUGGGCAACGGUAGGUCAGUAUGCCCCGAAUAUCCCGGGCUACACGCGGGCUACAAUGGUUGGUACAAUGGGUAUCUACCCCGAAAGGGGAUGGAAAUCUCCUAAAGCCAAUCUUAGUCCGGAUUGAGGGCUGCAACUCGCCCUCAUGAAGCUGGAAUCCGUAGUAAUCGCGUUUCAACAGAACGCGGUGAAUACGUCCCUGCUCCUUGCACACACCGCCCGUCAAACCACCCGAGUAGGGUUUGAAUGAGGGCGCUUCCUCUGGAGGCGUUCGAAUUUGAGCUCUGCAAGGGGGGUUAAGUCGUAACAAGGUA